GGAGGCUUCGCCUAGUCUGGUCUAUGGCGCCGCACUGCUAAUGCGGUUUGGGGUAACCCCCCCAUCCCGGGUUCAAAUCCCGGAGCCUCCG
rnacentral:tRNA from 2 species